rnacentral:rRNA from 1 species
AUUGAACGCUGGCGGCAGGCUUAACACAUGCAAGUCGAGCGGGGUGAGGUGCUUCGGUACUGAUCCUAGCGGCGGACGGGUGAGUAAUGCUUAGGAAUCUGCCUAUUAGUGGGGGACAACAUUCCGAAAGGAAUGCUAAUACCGCAUACGUCCUACGGGAGAAAGCAGGGGAUCUUCGGCCCUUGCGCUAAUAGAUGAGCCUAAGUCGGAUUAGCUAGUUGGUGGGGUAAAGGCCUACCAAGGCGACGAUCUGUAGCGGGUCUGAGAGGAUGAUCCGCCACACUGGGACUGAGACACGGCCCAGACUCCUACGGGAGGCAGCAGUGGGGAAUAUUGGACAAUGGGCGGAAGCCUGAUCCAGCCAUGCCGCGUGUGUGAAGAAGGCCUUUUGGUUGUAAAGCACUUUAAGCGAGGAGGAGGCUACCUAGAUUAAUACUCUGGGAUAGUGGACGUUACUCGCAGAAUAAGCACCGGCUAACUCUGUGCCAGCCGCCGCGGUAAUAC